CAUCACCUCCAGCAUUCCCAGUAUUGGAGGCAUUGCCUGCCCAGUGACAACUGUUUAACGGCCGCGGUAUCCUGACCGUGCAAAGGUAGCAUAAUCAUUUGUUCUCUAAAUAAGGACUUGUAUGAAUGGCCGCACGAGGGUUUUACUGUCUCUUACUUCCAAUCAGUGAAAUUGACCUUCCCGUGAAGAGGCGGGAAUGCACAAAUAAGACGAGAAGACCCUAUGGAGCUUUAACUAACCAACCCAAAGAGAAUAGAUUUAACCAUUAAGGAAUAACAACAAUCUCCAUGAGUUGGUAGUUUCGGUUGGGGUGACCUCGGAGAAUAAAAAAUCCUCCGAGCGAUUUUAAAGACUAGACCCACAAGUCAAAUCACUCUAUCGCUCAUUGAUCCAAAAACUUGAUCAACGGAACAAGUUACCCUAGGGAUAACAGCGCAAUCCUAUUCAAGAGUCCAUAUCGACAAUAGGGUUUACGACCUCGAUGUUGGAUCAGGACAUCCUGAUGGUGCAACCGCUAUCAAAGGUUCGUUUGUUCAACGAUUAAAGUCCUACAUGAU
rnacentral:rRNA from 1 species